UCUGGGUUGACAUGGACCUUGGACAGUUCAAAGUGGCUCUGCACUGAAGUUUUGCCAUUCCAUCUGGGUGCUUUAAAAUAUUAGAGGACCACAAUAAGCGGUUCAAGUCGAUCAUCAUCAAGUGAUCUUGGUAUGGUUGCAUAAAUCCUGCCACCCUGUGACAAUGAAGUGAAUACUUAAAGAGUCUUCCACCAGGUUGAGAAGUAGUGACUGGAAUGUGAAUAAUGUUGUGGAGCGUUUCAGGUCUCCCGCCAGGAUUGUUUAAUG